rnacentral:ribozyme from 14 species
CAGAAAACGGCAGCACAAAAUAAAAACAAAUCAAAUACUCCAAUUCCACUGCUGGAGACAUAUCAAAAUGGUUCUCUUUUCUCUUUGUUGUGUGUGCGGGGGGGGGGGGGGGGGGGGGUUUUUUUUUUUUUUUUUUU